rnacentral:rRNA from 1 species
UACGUAGGGUGCAAGCGUUAAUCGGAAUUACGUGGCGUAAAGCGUGCGCAGGCGGUUUUGUAAGUCUGUCGUGAAAGCCCCGGGCUUAACCUGGGAAUUGCGAUGGAGACUGCAAGGCUUGAAUCUGGCAGAGGGGGGUAGAAUUCCACGUGUAGCAGUGAAAUGCGUUAGAGAUGUGGAGGAACACCGAUGGCGAAGGCAGCCCCUGGGUCAAGAUUGACGCUCAUGCACGAAAGCGUGGGGAGCAAACAGG